rnacentral:rRNA from 1 species
UAGGGAAUCUUCGGCAAUGGGGGGAACCCUGACCGAGCAACGCCGCGUGAGUGAAGAGGGUUUUCGGAUCGUAAAGCUCUGUUGUUAAGGAAGAACGAGUGUGAGAAUGGAAAGUUCAUACUGUGACGGUACUUAACCAGAAAGGGACGGCUAACUACGUGCCAGCAGCCGCGGUAAUACGUAGGUGGCAAGCGUUGUCCGGAAUUAUUGGGCGUAAAGCGCGCGCAGGUGGUUUAAUAAGUCUGAUGUGAAAGCCCACGGCUCAACCGUGGAGGGUCAUUGGAAACUGUUAAACUUGAGUGCAGGAGAGAAAAGUGGAAUUCCUAGUGUAGCGGUGAAAUGCGUAGAGAUUAGGAGGAACACCAGUGGCGAAGGCGGCUUUUUGGCCUGUAACUGACACUGAGGCGCGAAAGCGUGGGGAGCAAACAGGAUUAGAUACCCUGGUAGUCCACGCCGUAAACGAUGAGUGCUAAGUGUUGGUCUCAUAAGAGAUCAGUGCUGCAGCUAACGCAUUAAGCACUCCGCCUGGGGAGUACGACCGCAAGGUUG